CGAGAACCUUAACCCCCCUGUUGUGAGACAAAAAGAAAAGUAAGUACCAAAACCAUCUCUCCCCCCGUCCCCCUGGUCAGCCUCGUGCAGAACACGGGCCCCCGCUCGGCGGCCGGAAGUCAGACACAGAACAGUGGUGAAAUGAGAUCCCCCCUCAAAGGACGUCCGAAGCACAGAUCCGGGGUGGUACCUACUUGUCCCAGGCGGUUCGGUGGCCUCCAGGACAGCCCAGGCCCAGCCCUGCCUAAGGAGCAGGGAAGAUGGCUGUGGGGAGGAGGAGGAAGAGGAGGAGGAGGCAGCGGCUGAGCUGUUUGGGGGCUGGGCCUGCUCACUGCUUCUCCUUAUCUAAGGGGACAGAGCCGGGGAUCCCGCCGCAGGCCGGGUGACCCCAACAAUGCAUGUGUGUCUUGCGAUGAUGUGGCCACAGCUGUGGCUCCCUCAGUGGGGGGAGGCGAAUGGCGAGGACGGAGGUGGGGGCUCCCUCCCUCCGGCCCCCUCCCCACCCCAACCCCUGGCUGUCCUGGGGUCUCCCGCCCCUCUCUGGGGUUUCAUAGUUUGAAGGUCCCUUUAGGGGAGAACUUACAGGCCAUGUCCUCAAUGAGCCCUGUUUGGAUUGACUGCACCUCACGGGUUCCCUGCUUGGAGAGCCGCUGGACCCCCACCUUGUCACCCCCUCCCCUACCUUGGAGGGGGCUGGGCCCUCGUCCUCCCGGAAGCUCAGUGGUUUCUCGACCUCGUUGAAUGCUGCAGAAGCUUAACGGGGGCAGAGAGGAGACAAGGCCAUUUCUCGGGAGCCCGCAGCUCCCCCAGAAUGUGCAGGGUGGAUCCUGUCUGGCCUCUUCAGCCUGCUUCUCCCCCAGGCCCUAGCUGGGCCCACAGCUGGCCCCAAGGACACCCCCUUAAGGCCCUGGCAGCAGGGAGUCUGGGGCACCCAAGCUCGGUGGCCUUGGAGGUGACAGCUUUGGCCCUGGUAGGGCCCUGGGGUGGGGGGCGGGGGGCGGCGCCAGCGGAGUAACUGCUGAUUAAGGGGCCGGCUGACUACUACUUGAUGUGAGUGGCAGAUGGUUGGGGGUGGGGUGGGGGUGCCUGAAAUAGAGUUGGGGGGAGGCCGGCACUAAAACCUCAUCCCCCCCACCUCCCAGGGCCUCUCUGCUUCCAUCCGGGUGGGUCUCAGCCUCUCUCUUCCCAUGGCCAGCAGGACUUCUGGGGAAGGGCCUGAGGGCAGAGUCCCAGGGCUGGGUGGUCCCAGGGGAGCGGGCAGGGCAGGGCAGGGAGUUCAGGUUCUCCAUGGAAGGGACUGUCCAUCUGUCUGCGCACACACCCUCCAGUGCCUCCCAGGCAGGGAGGGGGCUGCAGACUGGCUUCCUGAUGACCCAGGUGGUUCACGCCUAUAAUCGCAGCACUUUGGAAGGCUGAGUUGGGAGGCUUCCUUGAGCCCAGGAGUUCGAGACUGGCCUGGGAAACAGAUCCCAUCUCUACAUAAAAUAAAAAAAUUAGCUGGGCACGGUGGCACGCCCUGUAGUCCCAGCUACUUGGGAGGCUGAAGCAGGAGGAUUGCUUGAGCUCAAGAGGUUGAGGCUGCAGUGAGCGAUGAGGGUGCCUCUGCACUCCAGCCUGGGUGACAGAGUGAGACCCUGCCUCAAAAAAACCCCCCAAAGAUUGCCUUCCCAGCUGGAGAAGCCACUGAGCCAGGGGCACAGCGGGGUCCUGCCUGUCUGUCCCAGGCCCCGGGAACCCUGAGACACCCCUCCCCAACCCCUCACAGGGAAAGGCUUCAGAAGCUGCAAACCAAGGACCCCACUGUGGGCACGAGAAUCCCGCCCUCGCACGGGAGCUCGGAAGGCCAGCUUCCAACGAGGUCCUCUGCCCUCCACAGACUCCAUGGGCUGCCUGUCACCUGGGGUCCUGCAAGGGUCAAGGAGGGAGGCCCCCAGGCAGGGGACUUUCAGUAGAGCCAGGCUACCCUCAGCCAAGUUCCUCAAGCUCCGGGAAUGACUUGGCCCAGAGAAGUGUCAGCCACGCGACAACAUGGGGGCCUCUGUGUGAUGGUUGGUGCCUGCCCUGGACUCUCAGUCCCUUCCUGGGCCCACGAUAGGUACCUCAAGGGAGCGGGGCAGGAUUUUUUGUUUGUUUGUUUUUGAGACAGGGUCUGGCUCUGUCGCCCAGGCUGGAGUGCAGUGGUGUGAUCUCGGCUCACCGCAACCUCUGCCUCCCAGGAGAAUAGCGUGAACCCGGGAGGCGGAGCUUGCAGUGACCCGAGAUUGUGCCGCUGCACUCCAGCCUGGGCGACAGAGCGAGACUCCG
rnacentral:lncRNA from 1 species